CAAGACUUUUAUUUUGGCAAUACAUUUCCAAAAAAAUUCAGAACUUUACUCGUGCUCGGAAUCUAUUAGGGUAUUUGUUGGACAAUGAUUUAGACUUAUCUGAUAUGCCCAAAAACAUUUCAAUACCUGUGGAGGUAUUAAAUUCAAUGGAAACAAAGAAAGAAGUGAUUGAAUCUGAACCAUCUCAACCCUCGGAAUAUGAGAACAACCUGAACCAACAGUCACAACUAAUUGAUAAAUCAUGUCUAAAUAUUUUGUGAGUUGUUCAAAACUAUUUUCAGUAUCGAAAAAUUUCAUUGUGAAUAAUUUCAGCUCUCCAAAAACUGUGACGAUG